rnacentral:lncRNA from 1 species
AUAUUUUUAUAUUGAGUUUAAGAUUUGUAUUUUAGCCAGCAGCUCCUAGACCACAACCGGCAAAACACGUAGAACCUCCUCCAUCGACAAUCACUCUUCGGCCUGCGGCCCCAAUAAGUCAGACUCCGGCACGAGUGUACUCAGCUCAACCAGCCACGGCGUCCCUUAAAGUUGUUGUAGGAGGAAAGAACCUUCGUGGUGACUUGAAAUGGCCCCCAGAAAAUGUAAGGCAAAGAAUGGCAGAGGAACAGGCUUUUAUUGAGGAAAUCUCUAAAGGACCUGCUGUUAAGCCUUCAAGAAAAGAACGAGACUACACGCCCUUCUUCGCUCAACAUGCGUUGAACAGCACAUAUCCAGGAUACAAAAUACCACCUGGUACGCAGUACUUCAGGCCAGAAUAUUAGUUGACUUAAUAGAGUAAUGUGAUAUUUAUUUAGCGCUUUUGGCUCAGGUUUUUUAGUGAAAAAUUCCUGAACAGUACCGAAGAGUUUUCCUCCUUUUUUGGAUCGACGCUAUCGAUAAGAUUUAAUCAACGAUGAAACAUUGUUUGGGGAUUUUUCACUGAAAAAUGCAUAAUACUUAUUAUAUUUUUGUAAAUACUGCAUAUAACUCUAAAGCCAGGCUGUACAUUUAGUAAACAGCUGAACUGACAAUUACUUGUUUAUGAUUAUUGAAAAUAUUAUAAGAUAAAAAGGCGAUCUAGGAUUUGCAGAUUCCUUGGCUAAUGUUUCGAAAUAGCCGAUAUAUCAUGGUUGCAACCCCAAGGAUUCCGAUCCUCCUUUGCUAUUAGCAUGGUUUCACUAACGUAAAAACAAAAUAAAACCGUUUUUUCAUACAAUUUGAUUACUGAUCUUCAGGGAAAUAAACGUAAAUGAACCACAUUGAAGCUUUAGUGAAAUCAUAAUUUCUGCAAAUGUGACUUACAUUAAUCAUAUAUUUUCGCAAGCAUUAAUUAGUACCUAUUGCCUAAUAUUUCAAUUCUGCAGAAUGUAUACAUUAAAGCCAACCUGAACUA